rnacentral:rRNA from 1 species
GACGAACGCUGGCGGCGUGCCUAAUACAUGCAAGUAGAACGCACAGUUUAUACCGUAGCUUGCUACACCAUAGACUGUGAGUUGCGAACGGGUGAGUAACGCGUAGGUAACCUGCCUGGUAGCGGGGGAUAACUAUUGGAAACGAUAGCUAAUACCGCAUAAUAUUAAUUAUUGCAUGAUAAUUAAUUGAAAGGUGCAAUUGCACCACUACCAGAUGGACCUGCGUUGUAUUAGCUAGUAGGUGAGGUAACGGCUCACCUAGGCGACGAUACAUAGCCGAACUGCGAGGGUGAUCGGCCACACUGGGACUGAGACACGGCCCAGACUCCUACGGGAGGCAGCAGUAGGGAAUCUUCGGCAAUGGACGAAAGUCUGACCGAGCAACGCCGCGUGAGUGAAGAAGGUUUUCGGAUCGUAAAGCUCUGUUGUAAGAGAAGAACGGGUGUGAGAGUGGAAAGUUCACACUGUGACGGUAUCUUACCAGAAAGGGACGGCUAACUACGUG